rnacentral:rRNA from 1 species
UACGGAGGGGGCUAGCGUUGUUCGGAAUUACUGGGCGUAAAGCGCGCGUAGGCGGCUUUGCAAGUUAGAGGUGAAAGCCCGGAGCUUAACUCCGGAACUGCCUUUGAUACUGAGGAUCUUGAGUCCGGGAGAGGUGAGUGGAACUGCGAGUGUAGAGGUGAAAUUCGUAGAUAUUCGCAAGAACACCAGUGGCGAAGGCGGCUCACUGGCCCGAUACUGACGCUGAGGUGGCG